rnacentral:rRNA from 1 species
CCAGACUCCUACGGGAGGCAGCAGUGGGGAAUAUUGCACAAUGGGCGCAAGCCUGAUGCAGCGACGCCGCGUGAGGGAUGACGGCCUUCGGGUUGUAAACCUCUGUUAGCAUCGAAGAAGCGAAAGUGACGGUAGGUGCAGAGAAAGCGCCGGCUAACUACGUGCCAGCAGCCGCGGUAAUACGUAGGGCGCGAGCGUUGUCCGGAAUUAUUGGGCGUAAAGAGCUUGUAGGCGGUUGGUCGCGUCUGCUGUGAAAGGCCGGGGCUUAACUCCGGUUUUGCAGUGGGUACGGGCUAACUAGAGUGCAGUAGGGGAGACUGGAAUUCCUGGUGUAGCGGUGGAAUGCACAGAUAUCAGGAGGAACACCGAUGGCGAAGGCAGGUCUCUGGGCUGUAACUGACGCUGAGAAGCGAAAGCAUGGGGAGCGAACAGGAUUAGAUACCCUGGUAGUCCAUGCCGUAAACGUUGGGCACUAGGUGUGGGGGACAUUCCACGUUUUCCGCGCCGUAGCUAACGCAUUAAGUGCCCCGCCUGGGGAGUACGGCCGCAAGGCUAAAACUCAAAGGAAUUGACGGGGGCCCGCACAAG